AUACAGAGGGUGCAAGCGUUAAUCGGAUUUACUGGGCGUAAAGCGCGCGUAGGUGGCUAAUUAAGUCAAAUGUGAAAUCCCCGAGCUUAACUUGGGAAUUGCAUUCGAUACUGGUUAGCUAGAGUAUGGGAGAGGAUGGUAGAAUUCCAGGUGUAGCGGUGAAAUGCGUAGAGAUCUGGAGGAAUACCGAUGGCGAAGGCAGCCAUCUGGCCUAAUACUGACACUGAGGUGCGAAAGCAUGGGGAGCAAACAGGAUUAGAUACCCUGGUAGUCCAUGCCGUAAACGAUGUCUACUAGCCGUUGGGGCCCUUGAGGCUUUAGUGGCGCAGCUAACGAGAUAAGUAGACCGCCUGGGGAGUACGGUCGCAAGACUAAAACUCAAAUGAAUUGGCGGGG
rnacentral:rRNA from 1 species